rnacentral:rRNA from 1 species
UACGUAGGGUGCAGGCGUUAAUCGGAAUUACUGGGCGUAAAGCGUGCGCAGGCGGUUUGCUAAGACAGGUGUGAAAUCCCCGGGCUUAACCUGGGAACUGCGCUUGUUACUGGCAGGCUUGAGUGUGGCAGAGGGGGGUGGAAUUCCGACGUGUAGCAGUGAAAUGCGUAGAGAUGUGGAGGAACACCGAUGGCGAAGGCAGCCCCCCUGGGCUAACACUGACGCUCAUGCACGAAAGCGUGGGGAGCAAACAGG